GUGGGGCUGUAGUUCAGUGGCAGAGCGCUUGCCUAGCAUGCGUGAGGCACUGGGUUCAAUCCUCAGCACCACA
rnacentral:tRNA from 1 species